ACUCCUACGGGAGGCAGCAGUGGGGAAUUUUGGACAAUGGGCGCAAGCCUGAUCCAGCCAUUCCGCGUGAGUGAAGAAGGCCUUCGGGUUGUAAAGCUCUUUCGGCAGGGAAGAAAUCGCGAGGGGUAAUAUCCCUCGCGGAUGACGGUACCUGAAGAAGAAGCACCGGCUAACUACGUGCCAGCAGCCGCGGUAAUACGUAGGGUGCGAGCGUUAAUCGGAAUUACUGGGCGUAAAGGGUGCGCAGGCGGUUUUUUAAGCCAGAUGUGAAAGCCCCGGGCUCAACCUGGGAACUGCGUUUGGAACUGAAAGACUAGAGUGUGUCAGAGGGAGGUGGAAUUCCACGUGUAGCAGUGAAAUGCGUAGAUAUGUGGAGGAACACCGAUGGCGAAGGCAGCCUCCUGGGAUAACACUGACGCUCAUGCACGAAAGCGUGGGGAGCAAACAGGAUUAGAUACCCUGGUAGUCCACGCCCUAAACGAUGUCAACUGGUUGUUGGGGAAGCAAUUCCUUAGUGACGAAGCUAACGCGAGGAGUUGACCGCCUGGGGAGUACGGUCGCAAGAUUAAAACUCAAAGGAAUUGACGG
rnacentral:rRNA from 1 species